UAAUAUUAGUAACCAUGAGGUUCUUUUGAGAUUAAUAGGGAAGACGGUGUGAAUCCGCCGCAGCCCCCGCUGCCGUAUUAGGGGAUGGCUUGUACAUAAAUGUCACUGGCAUAUGCCGGGAAGGCGUACAAGAUUGGUUAAACCUUCCAGAUGAACCUUAAGUCGGAAGACCUGCCUUAUGGUGUGAAAUGUGA
rnacentral:ncRNA from 18 species